rnacentral:rRNA from 1 species
UAGGGAAUCUUCGGCAAUGGACGAAAGUCUGACCGAGCAACGCCGCGUGAGUGAAGAAGGUUUUCGGAUCGUAAAACUCUGUUGUUAGAGAAGAACAAGGACGUUAGUAACUGAACGUCCCCUGACGGUAUCUAACCAGAAAGCCACGGCUAACUACGUGCCAGCAGCCGCGGUAAUACGUAGGUGGCAAGCGUUGUCCGGAUUUAUUGGGCGUAAAGCGAGCGCAGGCGGUUUCUUAAGUCUGAUGUGAAAGCCCCCGGCUCAACCGGGGAGGGUCAUUGGAAACUGGGAGACUUGAGUGCAGAAGAGGAGAGUGGAAUUCCAUGUGUAGCGAUGAAAUGCGUAGAUAUAUGGAGGAACACCAGUGGCGAAGGCGGCUCUCUGGUCUGUAACUGACGCUGAGGUGCGAAAGCGUGGGGAGCAAACAGG